rnacentral:tRNA from 3 species
CAGGGCGUAGUUCAGUUGGAAGAACGCCAGGUUCGGGACUUGGAGGUCGUGAGUUCAACCCUCACCGCCCUGACCA